rnacentral:tRNA from 1 species
GCUUGGAUAGCUCAGUUGGUUAGAACAUGGUGCUGAUAACACUAAGGUUGCAGGUUUGAUCCCCGUAUGGGACA